rnacentral:rRNA from 1 species
GAAUUGACGGGGGCCCGCACAAGCGGAGGAACAUGUGGUUUAAUUCGAUGAUACGCGAGGAACCUUACCCGGGCUUGAAUUGCAGAUGAAGGAUCCAGAGAUGGUGACGCCCUUCGGGGCAUCUGUGAAGGUGCUGCAUGGUUGUCGUCAGCUCGUGCCGUGAGGUGUCGGCUCAAGUGCCAUAACGAGCGCAACCCCUCUCUUCAGUUGCCAUCAGGUGAUGCUGGGCACUCUGGAGACACUGCCACCGCAAGGUGUGAGGAAGGUGGGGAUGACGUCAAAUCAGCACGGCCCUUACGUCCGGGGCUACGCACGUGUUACAAUGGGGGGUACAGAAAGCCGGCUGCCCGCAAGGUCAGUCCAAUCAAGAAAGCCUCCCUCAGUUCGGACUGGGGUCUGCAACCCGACCCCACGAAGCUGGAUUCGCUAGUAAUCGCGCAUCAGCCAUGGCGCGGUGAAUACGUUCCCGGGCCUUGUACACACCG